rnacentral:rRNA from 1 species
UCCAGACUCCUACGGGAGGCGGCAGUGGGGGAUAUUGCACAAUGGGGGGAACCCUGAUGCAGCGACGCCGCGUGGGUGAAGGAGCGUUUCGGCGCGUAAAGCCCUAUCGGCAGGGAAGAAGGAGGACGGUACCUGACUAAGAAGCCCCGGCUAACUACGUGCCAGCAGCCGCGGUAAUACGUAGGGGGCAAGCGUUAUCCGGAUUUACUGGGUGUAAAGGGGGCGCAGACGGCAGCGCAAGCCAGGAGGGAAAGGCCGGGGCCCAACCCCGGGACUGCUCUUGGAACUGCGCGGCUGGAGUGCAGGAGGGGCAGGCGGAAUUCCUGGUGUAGCGGUGAAAUGCGUAGAUAUUAGGAGGAACACCAGUGGCGAAGGCGGCCUGCUGGACGACAACUGACGGUGAGGCGCGAAAGCGUGGGGAGCAAGCAGGAUUAGAUACCCGGGUAA